GUGAAUCAUCGAAUUUUUGAACGCAAAUUGCACUCUCCGGUUUUCCGGGAGAGUAUGCCUGUUUGAGGGUCAGCCUAAAAAAAUCGACAUUGUUGCUGUUUUAUGGUGACUUUCGUCGGAGAUGGGUUAUCUUAAAUCUCGGUUUAAGCGACUUAAAAAUUUUUUUUAGGUUUUUAGGAAGUUUCUAAGAUUUUUCUUUUUACGUUAAAGUA
rnacentral:misc_RNA from 1 species